rfam:Prevotella dentalis DSM 3688 chromosome 2, complete sequence.
CGCAGGGUGGCGCAGAUGGCAGCGCAUGAGGUUCAUUCCCUCAGGGUCGACGGUUCGAGUCCGUCCCCUGCAA